UCUAUAGUUUAAUGUGAAAUUAAAUGCAUUCAUUGGUCAAUCCUCAUCUUUAGGGAGGUCUACAUCAAUGGCAAUGAGCUGCAGUGUGGGGGUGCCAUUGAGCUGCUGAAACCUGUGGCUGAAAACAGCCAAAAACUGGCAGUGAUCCAAAACAGGACCACAUCCAUCACAGAUGAAACAGAGUUGAUCUCCCAAAGGAGCAAUACAACAUCUUCCAGACAAAAGAAAGCAAAGAGCAAAGUAUAGUUAAGUUCUCCUGUUACCUGACCGAACUGGAUCUUGGUGAGAAUCACAUCGGAGAGGAUGGUGGGAAAGUGCUUUUAGAGGCCGUGGGAGAGAGACAAGCAGCUAAACUAUCUCCAAUAAAAAUUCAGGUGUCAACACGCAUGUCCGCAGAAACAUUCAGUGCCAUUUUGAAAAGUGCAAAGGAGCUUAAAUCUGGGAAAAAGAGAAGAAAGACAAAGGGGAAAACAAAGUAGAUCGUCCAUCUGGAGGCUAUUGAAAGGAUAUUACUGGUUUGCACAAGAAUGUUUUUCCAGUCUGUUCCGCCAUAUUUUCAGUUUGUCACCAGUUUUUUUUUUUUUUAGAAAUCAUCAUCUUUUUAUGUGGACUGAAUUGUGUUUGACAACAGCCGUGCACCAAAUGUGACCGCACAGCAGACUCCCAGAUUAUGAACCACUUAUUUGUCAGCGGUGCACUAGCAGGGCUUCUGGAUCGAAUCUUAUUUUAUGUCACUCCAUUGGGAGCUUGAUAUGGCAUGAGGAUGUUUGUUCUUCUUUGUCCCUUAAAGUACAUACUUGCUAAGAAUGUGUUUUUCGUAACAGUUUAAUACAUGAAAUGUUUAUACUUUAUAGAAUAAUGUGAAAGACAGUUAGCAUUUAUUUGUGUUUUUCUGUGUACCUGGAGAGCAGACUAGAUACAGUAUGCUUUCUGGUAAAUUUGGUUUUGUCUCCACCCUACGGCCAAGAAUGAUACUUGCACUGUAUCGCGUUCAUUUAUAUUGAUUUAG
rnacentral:lncRNA from 1 species